UUGAGAUUUGAGGCAUUGAAUUGGACAUUUGCAAUCCCUUAGUUGCUACUGUUGCUUAGAGAGUGGUGAGGGAGAGAUCGAGAGUUUUUCAAAAAAUAAAAAAAAGCAUUCCUUUUUUUCCCACACUCACACUCACACUCACUCCACUCCAUUGAGAAAGUUGGUUGCAGCAGCAUGAUGGAGGAAGAAGAAGACCAGCAGAAGCUUCCAGAUCUGGUGAAGGAACUAGUCCACCGCCUCCUCUCCCAAAACCUCCCCCCAAAUUCCCCUCCCCUAAACCCUAACUCCCCCGAAUUCCGCAACUCCCUCCGCUACGCCCUCCGCAUCCUCUCCAGCCGCCUCACCCCCUCCGUCGCCCCCGACGCCGCCGCCAUCGCCGACUCCAUCAAGCGCCGCCUCGCUACCCACGGCCACUCCUCCGAAGCCCUCUCCUUCGCCGACCUCUUCUCCAAAUUCUCCUCCAAAGCCCAAAGCGUCAACAACAAAUUCGCCGUCAUCUACCUCCUCAAAAUCGUCUCCGAAGAUCGCCACACCACCACCGCAACCACCACCCCUCUCCUCCCCAACCUCAGUUUCUCCGAACCUACCUCCAACAAAAAACCCUGGAACGACAACGGCGCCCUCCUCAUCUCCAAGGACCCCGAGAACCGCCGCGACGUCGCGUUUCGCGAGUUCGUCGAUCUAGUCAAGGAAGAAAACGAGGUGUCGGAAGAGGUUCUCGUCCAAGACGUGCUCUAUGCUUGCCAAGGAGUGGAUGGUAAGUUCGUGAAAUUUGACGGCGAGAGUAAGCGUUAUGUGAUACCUGAUUCAAUUAGGGUUCCCCGAGCCACUAGGAGUAUGGUUUACAAUCUCUGUGAAUUGGGGGUUUUGUUUAGAAACGUUAGCGGUUACAUUUCGCUGAGUAUGGAUCGGUUUCCCAAUGAAGAUGUGGGAACUGUGGGCCAGGCUUUUUGCUCCGCUUUGCAGGACGAGCUUAGUGAGUAUUAUAAGCUGCUGGCGGUUCUUGAGGCUCAGGCUUCCAACCCGAUUCCUUUGGUUUCGGAAUCCGCGAGCUCCGGGAACUACCUUUCGCUCAGGAGGCUUGCGGUCUGGGUUGCUGAGCCCUUGGUGAAGAUGAGGCUGAUGGCUGAUUUAGUUGAGAAGUGCAGGGUUUUGCGCGGCGGGGCGAUGGCGGGGGCGAUUCAUUUGCACGCGCAGCAUGGUGAUCCGUUGGUUCAUGAGUUCAUGAGGAGGUUGCUGCAGAGGGUGUGUUCUUCGCUGUUUGAGAUGGUGAGGAGGUGGGUUUUGGAAGGGGAGUUGGAGGAUAUCUUUGCGGAGUUUUUCAUUGUUGGACAGCCUGUGAAGGCUGAGUCCCUCUGGAGAGAAGGGUAUAGGCUCCAUGAUUCCAUGCUUCCUUUGUUUAUCUCACCUUCGCUUGCACAGAGGAUAUUGAGGACCGGGAAAUCCAUUAAUUUUCUUCGCGUUUGUUGUGAGGAUCAUGGUUGGGCUGAUGCUGCGACCGAGGUUGUUGCUGAUCAUGGAGCAACGGCGAGAAGAGGUGGUUUUGGAUAUGGAGAAACGGAUACCCUUGAGUUUUUGGUGGAUGAAGCUUCAAAGAGGAUUGAUAAGCAUUUGUUGGAUGUGAUUUUCAAGAGGUACAAGUUCAAAGAACACUGUCUUGCAAUUAAGCAGUAUUUGUUGCUUGGGCAAGGUGAUUUUGUGCAGUAUCUGAUGGAUAUCGUUGGGCCUGAACUUUCUGAGCCGGCUAACACUAUAAGCUCUUUUAAACUUUCGGGAUUGCUGGAAACUGCAAUUCGGGCAUCUAAUGCUCAGUAUGAUGAUCCUGAAAUUUUGGAUAGGCUCAGGGUUAAAAUGAUGCCACAUGAAAGCGGUGAUAGGGGCUGGGAUGUAUUUUCACUAGAAUACGAUGCUAGAGUUCCACUUGAUACGGUGUUCACGGAAUCUGUGAUGGCAAGGUAUUUAAGAAUUUUUAAUUUUCUGUGGAAGCUUAGACGAGUGGAACAUGCGCUUACUGGAGCCUGGAAGACCAUGAAGCCAAACUGCAUUACCUCUAAUUCCUUCACCAGAUUGCAACAUGCAGUAAAGAUGCAGUUAGUUUCGACAUUGAGGCGCUGUCAGGUUCUGUGGGUUGAAAUCAAUCACUUCAUUUCAAACUUGCAAUAUUAUAUAAUGUUUGAAGUGUUGGAGGUAUCAUGGUCAAAUUUUUUGGCUGAGAUGGAAGUAGCCAAGGAUCUUGAUGAUCUACUUGCUGCUCAUGAAAAAUAUCUGCAUUCUAUUGUAGAGAAAUCUCUCCUUGGAGAGCUUUCCCAGUCUCUUUACAAGUCACUAUUUGUAAUUUUUGAUCUUAUAUUACGUUUUCGGAGCCGUGCGGAUCGGUUGUAUGAAGGUAUUCAUGAGUUGCAAGCAAGAUUCACAGAAUCCUCCCUAUCCUCUCGAGACAAGAAUCAAUCACGAUCUCGAAAGCAACUAAGUGAUAAAUCUGCAGAACAAGGAUCCUGGAUUGCUGAUGGGAGAAAAGCCCUAACACAACGAGCUGGUGAAUUUCUACGAAAUAUGGAGCAAGAUCUGGAUGCAAUUGCUAAGGAGUAUUCAUCAUUGCAAGAGGGAUUCAUUUCUCAAUUGCCUGUACAGCAGCAUGUUGAUCUAAAGUUUCUCUUUUUCCGUCUUGACUUCAACGAAUUUUAUAGGCGGUUGUGUCCUAGCAUGUAGGAAAUUUGUGAAUAAGGCUGAGGGUCAGGCUGAAGCAUUGUUUCUUCAAAAAGACAAGGCAUUAAAAGCGUUGCACCCAGCUAACUUCCAUUGUGUGUUUGAGUGGAACAAUUCUAUUGUUGCUAACUUCCUUUGGACCAACAGAAUGGGUCAUUAAUUGACCAUAUAGGUAGUCACAUUUUGUGAUUUGCAAGAUUGUUUGUUGCAGAUAUGAAGCUAUUAAUAUUCAAUUGGAUGCCCGAUAUGAGUAGUACAGACUUAAUAUAAAGCCACAGGUGAAUCAAGUAGCAAGAUGCUUGCCAUGCAAUUCAAUAUACUUUAUACACGUCUAAGUAGGAAAUUGCUGGUUUGGCUGAAAAUGUUGGAGCGGUUCAAGCAACUUUAGGUUUUUGGAAAUGUUGUGAGAAGGAGGUGGUGAUACAGGUUGAAUUUUUAACUAAGGUUCAAUCAAGCUUAUGUAAUUUAUGAUUCAGAUAUUAUAAUUUCUGAUUCUUUUCCUGAUAUAGAUAGAUGGGGAUGAGGCAAUCCCUUUCCCCCUCUAGUAGUAAAUUAGUUGUUUGAGCUUCGGUGAGAACAAGAACCAACUUGGUUAGUAAUUAUCUUGCUGUGUUGCAUAUGCACUACCAAAAUACCUAUAAUCGCUGUAUAAGAUCGACAACUGGCUCUUUGUCGAUUCAAUAAAUAAUACAAAGAGAGCAUAUGAUAAGCUGAUAAGUUGUGAAGACGGAUAUUGGGAGAAGACCUUAAAAGAAGAAAGUAGUGUAAGUUGCAUCAAAUCAAGGAUAUGUAUGAGCCUGGGGGAGUCACAAAUAGUAUGAGAACUUAAGGUGGGGUUAUAGCGAUUUUUUCUAAUAACUGUAGGAUGAUAUCAAUGUGUUUAAUGUGCAUCUUAGAGUCAAUGUUAUGAUGCAUGCUCUGUUGUGUGGAUGAUAUAAUUCUAGUUGGAGAGAUGUGGCGACGAGUUUUAGAGGCACGUAUCUUUUUUUUUUUUCGAGUGGUGGAAGUAAGGCAGAGUGUGUAGAAUGUAAGUUAAAGCAAGAGGCACAUCUAUUAGAGGAAUGAAGGCAUGAAAAAAAAACUAUAGGUGAAAGUGAAACUAUUAAGAGGUUAAUGUUCUGUCUAUAACAUGAUUCGUAAUAAAAUAUCAUGGCACUGUUUGAUCCAUGUAGCCAAGCAACCUCAUAUAAUGAAAAGAUUUUGUUGUUGUUCUUGUUGAGAUAAUGCAGAUAUGAAUGACAGAAA